rnacentral:lncRNA from 10 species
GAGCGAGCGAGCAUGGACGGCCGCGGGGCUUUCUGGACAGUGGCCAUUCCCAGAGCCAGGCAGGAAGGCCUCGGGAGGCUGGGGCUCCCGUUCCCGGUGAAGCGGACGCCGCCAGCGCCCCAGAACCCAGGAGGAAGCACACAGGCCCCACAGAGAGUGGUUGGCAAGAGUCACUCGGGGAUUAGGAUGCCGGCCAAAUCGCGGAAUUUGAGGCUGGAAUCCAAGCUCAACAGGACUGCUGUGUGUGAAGCACUCAAGAGGGCCCCUACAACCAACCUGCCAGGAGUCGGCUCCUGAAAACAGGGUCGGAAAAGAUCUCAGUCCUCUAUCUGUGAAACGGAAUUCGGCCUUGCCUGUCCACGAAAUGAAGACAAGGCAUCUCGUGUGUGUUAAGAUGAAACAAGAUCUUAGCAAGAGAGUAAUGAUUUCUUUUUUAAAACAUUUUUUACUGUAGUAAAAUGUACUAUAACGUAAAAUUA